GUCAUUUUUCACCGUUUUGAAAUACCGACCUUGCGAGAAAUCAAAUUUGAUUUGGAUUUUAAUUUUAAUUCUUACCACUAGAUGUAUUGUUAUCUUAUUCUGUGCUGAAUCGAUAUUAGCGAAAAUGCUACAAAAAAUAUAAGAGAGUUCGGUAGCCCUCGAACUAUUUUAGCAAUAGGGAAUUGGAUAUUAGAUCUAUGUUACGUAUUGUAUAUGGUCGUACGUGUGUUAUAUUAUUGUACGUACACAAUAUAUAAGUACGAAGUGUACAAACUUCGUUGAGUAGCACGUGAAUUUAUUCAGGUUAUGUCAGGAUAUAGACUCUAGUUAUGUGAUUGUACUGAAUGAUUAAAAUAUUUAUUAAAUUAACUUCCUUAUGAAUUAUAGUAAAUAUUAAUAACAAAUAACAUGAAAUUCUCUACUAAUUCAAUAAAAUCUUGUGCUGCCCGUAUUGGGACGUUGGCAGAAUUUGAAAGAAUUCCUAAUACCACUUUUGAAACUCCUCUUGCUCUUAUUUAUACAAAGGGAGGUUGUGUGCCGCAUUUAACUAAAGAUGUUUUUAAAAUGGUUACUCCAGACCCACAAAUGUUAUCCGUUUCUCUUUCUUCCACGUAUUUAAUGUUGGAAUCAAUGAAGGAUAAUAAUGUUAAUUUUGCAAAUUUUGUGGGUAUGAAGGAGUACAUUAAUUUUGUUACAAUGCAUGACCCAGCCUAUACGACGCCUUUAGGUUUUCGAGAAGCUAAUUCUAUUCCUGUAUGGACAAGAAGUGGAAAAUUUACAUUAACACCCAAUAUGUAUAUGAAUGUUAUUGAGACAUUUAAACCAGACAUGUAUGUUGCUUUGUGUGAUGGAGAUACUAAUAUCAAUAGUAGUAAAAAAAGGGUAUCAAAUUCUGUACGAAAUAGCAUGACAUUCUUUGAUCAAUGUUUUACUAAACAUACUUCAUCUGAAGCAUUGAAGUCCUCUGAAAUAUUAGGUGCAAUUGAAGGUGGUUAUGAUAAAGAUGCUAGAACAAUAUCAAUAAAUUAUUUAAAAACUAAACCUGUAAUGGGAUAUGUGAUAGAUGGAUUGCAUAAUAAUGGACCAGAUGUAAAGAAUAUACCAUCAGAACAAAUCAGAGAAAUAGUACAACACACAAUUAAUCUUUUACCUCCUGAAAAGCUUAAGGUAUCAAUGGGAUGUUGGAAUCCCCUUACAGUAUUAGAUCUUGUUGAAUUAGGUACAGAUAUAUUUGAUACUUCAUACCCUUAUAUAAUUACUGAAAAUUUAAAAGCUUUAACUUUCCUAUGUGAUCAUGAUGACUGUAAUAAUGUAGGUCAUACAAUAUCAUUUAUAGAAGAAAGCAGAUAUGCGGAUGACUUUUCUCCAAUAUGUUCUCAUUGUGAAUGUCUAACAUGUAAAAAUCAUACCAAAGCAUAUCUAUAUCAUCUAUGUAAUGUUAAGGAAAUGCUUGGCACUGUUCUUUUAAUGAUACACAAUGUACAUCAAUAUCUCGAAUUUUUUAAGAUUAUUCGAGAAAGCAUAAAAUGUGGCGUUCUUGAUGAUUGCAAAAAGAAAAUUAAUUUAAAAUUUAAGCAAGGCAAUGUCGCUGAAGCAGAUGAACCUACAGAUAUAAAAGGAACUAGAUCUUCUAGUUCAUAACACAGCUUUAAAAAAGUAUUAAUGUUUAAUGAUAAAUUAUUUUUGCAUUCUACUUUUAUAAAACUAUGAUAUAAUAAGAAUAUUAUACUAAUUAUAUAUUAUACUAAUAAGAAUAUUAGUAUAGAUUUGAUGAAAUAAUAAUUAUUCAGUAUACAGAGGCGGUUUUAUAGGGAGUAGUCUAUGUAUCGUGUCAUGUAAUGGUUUCUCAGCCUCUAAUUGCGCUACAGCGCAAUCACCGCAUAAAUCAAUUCCAUCUUGGCAUUCUGUGCAAUGCCAUCUUGUACCUGUUAGAGGGUCUUCUCCACAAACUGAACACUGUAAAAAUAAACCAUUAAACUUUAAA